GAAUGGCGCCCUUGGGAGGCAUGAUCACCUGCUUGGGAAGACCUCCUGGGUCUUCCGCUACCGAGGCUUCCAGAGAGAGGCUCUUGGAGGACAGACCAGUGAGACACGGGAGAGCAGAGAGACCUGACAGCGCUGUCACACCACGUGGGGUCCCUGGAUCAGCAGCAGCAGCGUCACCAGGAGCUCGUUGGGGCGACCCCUGUCCCACCCCUUCAGCAGACUCAGUGGCUCUCGGGAGAAGCAAUGACAGGCUGUGACAUCGAAGCCAUGCACGCUUGCAGCCUCGCCUCCCUCACCCUCAGCCAGCUCUGUCAGGCUGCUCCGGGGACACCGUGCAUGCCGAGGGAGCAGCCCCCGGUCUCCAACUUCCCCGUUCUCCUGAUGGAGAGACCAAGGCACUAAAAGGUUUAGAAAGUCACUCGCAGCUCCAGGUUCUAGAGUGGUCCUCGUGUCCGUCCGGAGUGGAGGCCGACCCCCAGAGGGGAUGCGCUGCAACAACCAGGGCAUCUCAUGCGGGCAAAGCUCUGUGCUGGACUGAGUCCCAGUUCCACACAUGGGGAUGGAGAGUCGGACUGGGCCAGCAAGAGGCAGGCAGAGUGCUAUCCCCACAGGCUGUAACCAAGGGGUGCGGGGACUCUUGAAGUAAAACCAGCCACCAGGGUAGCUGGGGAGGGGCGGGGGUGGUCCUCUGGGGACAGGAUCCAUGCCAAAGCAAAACCCAGAUGAGGCAGCUGCUUCCCUUGAGGAGGGGUCCAGAGUUGGCUCAGAUUUGCAGAUGAGCCGGGGUGGGGGUGAACAGCCUGGGCCAUCAGAAACUGAGUGAGGAAGCCUGCCAGCAAAGACACGGGAACUUAAUUCUCCGAGAAGCACAGAAGACGGUCCCAGGAGCCCCAGACUUGGCCAAGCCUGGUGGAAGGAAGGAAAUAAGAUUUCAACUGAACACGAGUUGGAUUUCUAAGCUGGGCCACUGGACACGUGAGCAGAAAUGAUGGAGCUGCCCAGGUUGCCAUCAAAGGCUGGGGGGGGGCUCGGGUUUCACUGCAAAACCAGAGACCCCAACAUAACACUGCCCCAAACAGGACGGAGGACGAUUUUUCUUAAAAAUGUCUGGAGGUGAGGCCCGGGGCUGAGGCUGCAGCCUUGUGCCAUGAAGCUGCCAGACCGGCCUCUUCCUGCUUCCUGCGCCGCCGUCUUUAGAGGGCGACUCUUGUCUUCACAGCCCAGUGUUUUGGCCACUUUGAUCCGAGUGCAGUGGUUUGUCAUCGUUUUAAUUUGCCCCGGUGACAUAGAAUGGGAAGCGUCUUUUCAUGCGUUUAUUUACCAUCUGUGUCUCUUCUUUGGUGAGGUAUCUGUGACUGGGUGUUUUCUUUGUUUUUGCUUUUUGUGUUUUU